AUCAAUUCUCGGCCUUUUGGCUAAGAUCAAGUGUGGUAUCUGUUCUUAUCAGUUUAACAUCUGAUACGUCCUCUAUCCCAGGACAAUGUAUUCCAUUGAUUUUUGGAGUGGGAGCUGGAAUAGGAGCUUGUUUGUGUACUCGAUGCAUCGUUUCCCUGGUCCUUGGGUGUUUAAUGGGGUUGAUAUACU